GGCCUGCAAGGAACAUGAGCAGAAACAUUUACCCUACAUCCAAACCAGUCCUCGAGACUGCACAUGUGGUCCUCAACUAUUUCUUAAUCUGGAAGUGGGUCUCGGAAAACUCUGGCCAGCAGCAGGUCUUUUCCGGAACCUCUAGCAGUUCUGAAGUGUGCUUACGCCACAAUCACAAGGCACAACGAUGCUACUGAGAGGUUUCCGCAUACCUGUUGGAGGAGGGACCUGCGGGGCCCCUGCCUAGGCCUUCAUGGCUCUGCUGUCCCAGUGCUGAGGAGGUGAACACUGGCAAGCCACGGGUGGAUUAUGCUAUAGCUUCCUAGCUGCUGAUGAGCUUGAGGCUCAGCGAUGCUGGAGGGCCAGAUGCUCGGAGCGUUCCUUUGAAUCGACACGAAGCCCUGAAACUGCUCUGAGAUGCGCACUGUGACCAGCUCGGCUUCACAGAUGAGGAACUUGAGUCCUGGGAGCAGGAGUUAACUGCCCUAAGGACUCACAGCAAAGAAGCGGUGCAGGAGGACUCUGGCCAGGUCUCAGUUCUCCUGUUCCCUGCCGUUUCCCAGCUGUUGGUGCCCACCUCUGAACUACUGUGUACUUUGCUGCUUGCUUCAAGACUAACUGACCAACCGCCGUCCCUCUAAACCGUAAAGUCUCCACAGAUCCCAUAUCAGUAUGGCCAGGGAGAAGGUUCCGCUGCUAAAAGUAUUUGUUUCAAGCUGAUAAACUGAGUUUAAUCCUCAGAAUCCACGUGAUGGAAGUUUUGCCCGGCAGUCCUGAGUGCUGUUUAUCCGGAGUGCAUUUACCGUCCAUGGCAAGAGAGCUUUCUUUCGGCAUGGGAACUCCUCUUUACCGCCACUAGGUGGGGCUCCAACCAUAAUGUCUUUGAGCCUUGGAAACUAGCCGCAAACGCUGGAGCUGGCGCCCUUGGACAAGACUAACCUUGGACAAAUCACAUACGGCAUGAAGUACGGCUUUUCUCUCCAUCCCGAAGUUUUCACAGCGCUCCCGAGCAAAGAUGAUAGGAAAAAGUUACUUCAUCAGGGAAGAGAGGCUCUGCUCACAGCGAUUCUAGCCCAAAUGCUCUCUUCACAGAUGAGAUCGCUAAAGCUCUAGGGGACUGCUCCAGACUACGUAUGGCUUGAAUUGGGUCCUUUUUAAAAACUUAUUUAGGCUUUUAUGUGCCUGCAUAUGUGUAUGUACACCCUGUGAGUGUCUUGUGCCCGUGGAAGCCCGAAGAGGGUGUGACCUGGAACUGCUACUACAGACCAUGUUUAGCCGCCAGAUGGGUGCAGGGAACCAAAUCUGGGUUUUCUGCAAGAGCAGCCGGUGCCCUUAGCCACUGACCCAACUCUCCGGCUCCUUGAACUGAUUCUUAAGGAUGGGGAGCAUGCUAAGAGCUGAAGAAGGGAGACCAGUGAGCCCAUAAGGGAGUGUGAGCUGAAAUCCCCUAGAGGGGGCGGGGCCGUGCCAAGCCCGGAGUCAUAGGCUGGCUGAUCUAAACCCGGUGAUUAUGAGAGCUGGAAUGCUGCCGGUCCACAGCUGCGCUGUCUUGGGCAAUGCUGAGUCCUUUCCUACCCACCCUGGGCCCGACCUAGCUUUUGCCUGCCUCCGGAAACCUUUUGGAUUGCGUUAAGAGAUCACCAGCUUCUGCCAAGCCAAAAGCUAAGCUCAUCAUCAGCAUCUUCAUCCUAUAGCGGAGACUCCCCACUUCCCUAUAGCCCACCUGCCUACCGUUUCCACCCAUGCUUUCGGGCAGUGGUUUGUUUUGGCUUUUUUUUCGCUUGUGUCCUUGCUGGAAGUAAGCUGAAUAAACUCUCUCCUCCCCAAGUCCCUUUGGUCAUGGUGUUUCAUCACAACAACAGAAACCCUACCUAAGACACCUCUUAAUAGGCUGCAGAAGUAGUUCAGCUAUGAAGUAUUAGCAUGAGGACCUGAGUUAGAGUCCCCAGCACCCACAGAAAAUACCAGACGAGGUGGC